UGGGCGGCCGUCUAUGGGGUCGCACUGAGUCGGACACGACUGGAGCGACUUAGCAGCAGCUACAACUGGGCAGUCUUGGAGGCCUGGGGCGGGUGGACAGCUUUCCAGAAAAGGCUGUAGUGGCAUUAACAUUUCAUUCGUGGGUUUUCCUCACCUGGCAGGCUAUUUAGACACAGCAUCCCUUAAUGACUCACUUGCUCACUGUUCCAAGUUUCCACCAAACUUCGCUUCCCACUCUCUGUAGCGUGAGAAAGGGGCGUGGCAUUAGGCUGAGGCUCUAGAGCUCCGCCCACUCCCCUUUUCUGAUGCUGGAAUCGUUGGACCAGGUGAGGCCACCUGCAAGGUGUAAGGGAGACCUCCCGCCCCAUACUCCUGUUAAAUACUCAGGUCUCAGGUACCUGUGUCUCUGCAUCAUCAAUCCCUUCCUGUGUUUCCCUUCUUCCACUCAAUUAAAAUUAAGAUGCCCCAGGGAAGUAGGACACUAAAUGAAUGUACGCUAAUGUGAUCAGCCAUUUACUCACCCAGCUUCUCUUCUGCUGUCAGACUAAAUAUAUGGGCAUUGAUAUGGAAGGGCCCAGAAGGUGAGUAGUAAGAAAUGUCAAGGCCAACACCUCUUGCUUCCCCUUUUCUUGGGCCUGGCCCUCACUCUCAUUCAUACAGCCACUUACUUGCCUUUGUACAUCCUUCACUACUUGACAAGCACGUUCACACCUGCCAGCUCAUGUAACCUUCCUCACAACUCUGUAGGUUGACAGGGAAGGUCCAUAAACCCAUUGCACAUGUGAAGAAAGAGACCUGGAGAAGCAGAGGGACUGGUUGCAAGCAGAAGGUCCAGGAGGAGAACCCACAUUCUGCCAGUUGGUCCCAUUCCUUUUCCAGCACAGCCCAGGUCAUAGGAUGUGGCUUUAGAGCAGUUCAGCCAAUGAUAGUGUCAGAGCUGGACGAGCCUUAGAACUUUUGGGGACUUCACUGUGGUUUGGGGUGGUGUUCCAAAAACACGGAGAGAAGAGGACAGAGUCCCCUUGGAUGUGCUGAGCAGACAUCCGGGUACCAGGAGAGUGGGCAGCUUCCAUGGCUCCGUAUCACUCUGGGAAAGCUGGGGUUCCUUGGAAGGCCUCUGAUCCUCAGGAGUCAGGGCCAGGGCACUGGGAUCCACCUUCUCCUUUGCCACACACCCAGACUUGCAUCCUCAGCUCUCAACAGGCAAAGAUGUCAGUAAGCAGAGGGAACAAGAUGCUGGUGUGAAGACAAGGGAGACAGCUAGGGACCCUCUCUGAGACUGAAUGGAUAGAGCAGAUUAACACUGCUGGUGGAGAGUCUGAGGAUGAAUAAUCAACUGCCUAUAUCAGCCACACCCUCUCUCCAGCAGCCCAGAACAUCUCUCCUUCCUUGAACUUGAACUUCUCAGUGACUCACCUCUGGCACCCGUCACACCUGGAAUCGGGAGGGUUCUCCGCCCAGCCUUCACCUUUGCUGACAGGUUCAGACUCAUCCUUCAGGAUCAGCCUGGUAUCUCUUGCCCUGGCUCACCCUUCCUCAUCCGGUCAUCUGGGUGGGGAUCCCUCUGGGUGUCUCUCACAGCUGAACCCCACCUGGCACAGCACUCACUGGUCACGCGGGCUGUCCUCGCUGACUUUUUUGCCUGAAUCCUCCGGCAGACUAUACAGGUUAAGAGGGCAGAGACAACGCAGGUCUGAAAGCUCUGUGGCUGCCCUGAGAUCCCAGGAUCCCAGCACCUUUGGAAUACACUUCUCAUGUUUGGAGAAUUUCUCACCUUGUACGAGAAGGCCAGAAAUGUAUUUCCCAACCUUCCUUGAAGCCAGGGCUCAGAUAUGCGACCCAGGCUCCACUCAUCACUUGCAUCCAUGCCAGACUUCAGUGAAGAAAAGGAGGCCAGGCAGAGUCAUUGUGUGACAGUGGCAGGAAAUGAGUUCUCAGAGGCAGCAGGGCUGAGGUCCCGGCCAAAGGGUCCCUGCCUGGGACAGUGGCUCGAGCCUCAAGCCCAAGUCCAACUGCAAGGGCCAUCGAGAACUGUGUUCCCGGCAACGUGCCUGGCUGUUUAGCCGCUAGCCCCUUUCCUCACUGUUGGGGAGGUUCUGUAAGCAACCUAGUAUAUUUCAAUAAAUACUCUGAUAAACUA